AUGACAAACACAAAGAGAAAGAGGAGAGGCACCCGAUACAUAUUCUCUGGCCUUUUAGAAAACAUACAGUUGUUCCUUUGGCCACGUAUAUGCGAAUCUAUAAGAAAGGUGAUAUCGUAGACAUGAAGGGAAUGGGUACUCUUCAAAAGGGAAUGCCCCACAAGUGUUACCAUGGCUAGACUGGGAGAGUCUACGGUGUUCCCCAGCAUGCUGUUGGCAUUGCUGUAAACAACCCCACAAGUGUUACCAUGGCUAGACUGGGAGAGUCUACAGUGUUCCCCCGCACGCUGUUGACAUUGUUGUAAACAAACAAGGGCAAGAUACUUGCCAAGAUAAUUAAUGUGCAUAUUGAGCACAUUAAACACUCUAAGAGCUGAGAUAGCUUCCUGAAACACGUGAAGGAAAAUGAUCAGAAAGAGAAAGAAGCCAAAGAGAAAGGUACCUGGGUUCAACUGAAGCUUCAGCCUGUCCACUCAGAGAAGCACGCUUUGUGAGAACCAACGGGAAAGAGCCUGAGCUGCUGGAACCUAUUCCCUGUGAAUUCAUGGCAUAUU
rnacentral:lncRNA from 1 species